rnacentral:rRNA from 1 species
CAAAGGUGAGCCAGUACAGGAUGGACCCGCGUCUGAUUAGCUAGUUGGUAAGGUAACGGCUUACCAAGGCGACGAUCAGUAGCCGACCUGAGAGGGUGAUCGGCCACAUUGGAACUGAGACACGGUCCAAACUCCUACGGGAGGCAGCAGUGGGGAAUAUUGCACAAUGGGCGAAAGCCUGAUGCAGCAACGCCGCGUGAGUGAUGAAGGCCUUCGGGUCGUAAAACUCUGUCCUCAAGGAAGAUAAUGACGGUACUUGAGGAGGAAGCCCCGGCUAACUACGUGCCAGCAGCCGCGGUAAUACGUAGGGGGCUAGCGUUAUCCGGAUUUACUGGGCGUAAAGGGUGCGUAGGCGGUCUUUCAAGUCAGGAGUGAAAGGCUACGGCUCAACCGUAGUAAGCUCUUGAAACUGGGAGACUUGAGUGCAGGAGAGGAGAGUGGAAUUCCUAGUGUAGCGGUGAAAUGCGUAGAUAUUAGGAGGAACACCAGUUGCGAAGGCGGCUCUCUGGACUGUAACUGACGCUGAGGCACGAAAGCGUGGGGAGCAAACAGGAUUAGAUACCCUGGUAGUCCACGCUGU